UGGGGAAUAUUGGGACAAUGGGCGCAAGCCUGAUCCAGCAAUGCCGCGUGUGUGAAGAAGGCCUUCGGGUUGUAAAGCACUUUUAUCAGGAGCGAAACGCUGUCGGCUAAUACCCGGCGGAACUGACGGUACCUGAGGAAUAAGCACCGGCUAACUUCGUGCCAGCAGCCGCGGUAAUACGAAGGGUGCAAGCGUUAAUCGGAAUUACUGGGCGUAAAGCGUGCGUAGGCGGUUUCUUAAGUCUGCUGUGAAAUCCCCGGGCUCAACCUGGGAAUGGCAGUGGAUACUGGGAGGCUAGAGUGUGUCAGAGGGUGGUGGAAUUCCCGGUGUAGCGGUGAAAUGCGUAGAGAUCGGGAGGAACAUCAGUGGCGAAGGCGGCCACCUGGGGACAACACUGACGCUGAGGCACGAAAGCGUGGGGAGCAAACAGGAUUAGAUACCCCUGGUAGUCCCACGCCCCUAAAACGAUGCGAACUGGAUGUUGGUCUCAACUCGGAGAUCAGUGUCGAAGCUAACGCGUUAAGUUCGCCGCCUGGGGAGUACGGUCGCAAGACUGAAACUCAAAUGAAUUGAC
rnacentral:rRNA from 1 species